GCUGGGGCCCUGCGCACGGUGCCUUGGGCUGCGCCCCGCCACCCCCCGGGUGUCGCGUCUGGCUCCCGCCGGCCAGCGCGCGGGAUGAGGAGCCCGUGCGAGGCGUUCCCCGGGGACUGAGCCUCCCGCCGCACCAUGAAACUCUACUGCAAGGUGGUGGCCAUCCUGCUGUGCCUGGGGAGCCUGCUGCUGCUCUAUCUCUUCGUGGGCAACGCGGAUGAGCCGCCGCUGAAAGGGGCCGGAGACGCUCGCUGGCUGCCCGUUUCCUCCGGACCGGGGGGCCGCGCCCACCCGCUCUUUGCACAUUUCCAACCCGUCCGGCCAGCGCCGGAGGGGGCGGCGGUGGCGGCGGCCGCCGCUCAGAUUUCCAAGCGGGAGCCACGUCUCGGCAGAAACCCCGGCAAGCGAAGUCCUGCGAGAGGGAAGUUUGCAAACGUUCGACCUGGGGAACAGAAACACUUGAAGGAACUUCCAUCUCUGCAAUGGAUGCACCUGGCAGUUGUGGCAUGUGGCAACCGGCUGGAAGAGACUCUUAUCAUGCUGAAAUCAGCAGUUCUGUUUAGCUACAGGAAGCUGAAGUUUCACAUCUUUGCUGAGGAUUCCCUGAAGCCUGAAUUUGAGAAGAAGUUAAGGGAAUGGCCUUCCUCUUACACCAAGAAGUUUGACUACAACGUCUACCCAAUUGCUUUUUCAGUAGGAAAUGCUCAGGAGUGGAAAAAAUUAUUCAAACCUUGUGCUGCCCAGCGCCUCUUUCUUCCGAACGCCAACAGACCUGUGAAACUGGAAAGAAAUGUACAAGCGUGCACAGAAGAGGCCUUGUACAAGAAAGUUUCAAUGCGAAGUUCAUUGCUAAUAGUGCUGAGGCCGUGUGUUAUGUUCCUGCAACCCCAGAUAAUGAAGUGUUUCAUUUUGAGUGGCAGACGAAUGCUGGUGAUUUUAAAGGAUGUGGAUUCUCUUCUCUAUGUGGACACUGACGUUCUCUUCCUGAGGCCCAUUGACGACAUCUGGCACUUUCUGAAAGAGUUCAACUCCACACAGCUGGCUGCUAUGGCCCCAGAGCACGAAAUACCAAAGAUUGGUUGGUACAGUCGAUUUGCUCGUCACCCUUACUAUGGAACAACUGGAGUCAAUUCCGGAGUCAUGCUGAUGAAUUUAACCCGGAUAAGAAACACACAGUUCAAGAACAGCAUGAUACCAACAGGCUUGAUGUGGGAGGAAAUGUUGUACCCAUUAUACCAAAAGUACAAAAAUUACAUUACGUGGGGAGACCAGGACUUGCUAAAUAUUAUUUUUUACUUUAACCCAGAGUGUCUCUAUGUGUUUCCCUGUCAGUGGAAUUACCGGCCCGAUCACUGUAUGUAUGGGAGUAACUGUAAAGGCGCAGAAGAGGAAGGCAUAUCUGUUCUCCAUGGUAACAGAGGCGUCUACCAUGAUGACAAACAGCCUACUUUUAAGGCACUAUAUGAAGUGAUACGUGAUUUUCCCUUUGAAGACAAUCUCUUCCAGUCCUUGUACUACCCUCUUCAGUCUAAGUUUCUGGAUACUGUACACACUUUAUGUGGGCGAAUUCCACAAGUUUUUCUGAAGCAGAUUGAGAAAACGAUGAAGAAGGUUUAUGAAAAUCGUGUCAUUGUUCAUAUGGGAGCCAACUACAGAUACUAAACAUAGCUACACUUUAUAUGGUAAUUUUCAUCCUUGUAUCCAAAUCAUUUGAGGCAGAUAAAUUAAAUUGAGGCAGGAGCACUGUCAGUUUAAAAAUCAUGUUAUAAAAAAAAAUUGUCUAAAUUGGAACAUUUCACCAAGGAUCAUGGUGGAUUCUCUGUUACUGACCACUUUUUAAAUCAAGAUUGGGUAUUCUUCUGAAAGAUCUGCUCUAGGAAUUAUUUUGGAAAAGUUCUACGGCCUGUGUAAUACAGGAGGCCUGACAAGAUUAUCACUGUUGUCCCUUCUGGUCUUGGAAUUCAUGAAUUUCCCUGGUUUAUUAAUAGCUCCUUAAUUGAUUAAUAUGGAAUUUAAAAAAUCCAUUCUAACUGCCACUACUUAUGCUCUUCGUUCACUUCCUGCAUUUCUCCCCCUUGAACAAGGAGAAUCAAUGAUUUGACUGUCACUAGAAUGAGUUUCGUGUUUUUAGAUCUGUCAUGUUUAAGUUUAAACACUUUAGGGGAAUGUGUGUGUGUUUAAAACAACUAUUUUCAUUGGAGGUGUUUUUCAGUUGUAGAAACAUCUGUUUUUAUUAAAAAAAAAAUUUUUUUCAUCCCACAAGAUUUAUAUUUGGGUCUAGAUUUAAAUUGACAGCAUCACUGACUUAAAAAUAGAUGCUUAAGCCUUAGUUAAACAUGACUGUAUAAAAGGGAAACCAUCUGCUUAAAAAUCACUGAAAGGUGUGGGGUCUGUUUGUUUACUUUGUGCAUUUGACAGCACUUUGUGUCUAGUGAGUAUCAUUGUUCCCUAGCCUACUUUCCCUCUUUUGUUUGAGCCUUUCACACAAUAACAGGAGGGAGACCCAUUAAAGCCACUAAGAAGAACAUAUGCACAAAUAUUGGGAGAGGGGUGUAGAGAUAAGUACAAUACUUGAACUAGUGUUCACUUGCUGAAAGUACCUAGAUUUCAAGUGGCUGUUUUAAAUUCCCCUCUCUGUGGGAACAUGGCUUUAGUCUUUUUUUCUUCCCAUUUUAAAUAGAUUACAUUUCUUGCUAUUUUGUGGUUUUAAUUAUGUUAAAAACAGCAAGAACACUGUGAAUGAACCUCCUUUAAUUACUACUUACUGUUUAGGAAUAAUUCUAUACCACCGAGAACCUUUCUUCCAGCACAGCUUUACUGGGAGACUGAGAUUGCUGCCUCUGACUGCCUUUUCCAAUAUGCCAAAAAUCCAAUUGUUCUUGGAUAUAAAAAAAAAAAAAUCCACAUCUCUGCUUGGCACUCUGAUCCCUUGAAGUUCAGCACCUGUGCCAGGAGUUUAACUAAUAGCCUCAAAGUGAAAUGGGAUGCAAGAUGGCUCUGAUGUUUUGUUUUUUAUAUUUCAAAAUAAUGUUCAUGUUGUAAGUAGUUAGACUAAAGUUACAGACAGUGUUACGCAGCUCAUUAAAACUUGCAAUAGUUAAAAGAUGCUCAGCAGAAGCUGUAGGAAACCUGAAACUUUAAGGAUUCAUGGUGCAAUGACAUACCCAUAAAAGACACUUGGUAAGUGAAAAUCGUGAGGGAUGUAUACAACAGAGAGGUUAUAUUGUUCAGCAUGUGGAAAGCAACUGAAUAGACAGCCUUACCUUACCUUAUCUGUUCAACAGAAAAAUCAGCCAUCACUUGGAACUGUCUUUUAUGUCUACUACGCAAGGUGUCGAGGGGGAACUAUUCUGUAAUGGAAAAAAUUGCUAUAGACUGCAUUAUAUGGUAAUAUGCAUGUAAUGCCAAUAGUUUUACAGGCAUACAUACUUACCUUGCAUGGCUGGUGAGUGCUAGGGGCAUGUCACUUUAAUUAGAGUCUAGAAGUUCAAGACAGUCUGCAGUGUUGGCAUUGCUGCCCUCACCAUUCAUGAUUGAUACAGUUUCGCAAUGGAACACGUGCCAACCGAAAAUCCUCUUAGGUAGGUGGCCUACGUGUAUCCCUCUUCUCCAGUAACAGCAGGCUAGCUGUCUCUCUCGGCCUAAUCAGAACAGUUGACACUGAUGUGCCCAAAUGCAAUACCUGGCUUGUGAGGGAGAGGAAGACAUGAGGAUUCUCUGCAGCUUGAGGUCUUCAAA